CUUGAUUAUCUCCAAAAAUGAAAUCAGCAAAGUCGUCCAUGCUUGUACUGUCUGUGCUACAAGAGCAUUCAUCUGAGGUGCUAUCAAAGAGAGAAGAACUGUCACUCGACGAGUCCUCUUCCAAAAUUCUCUGCAGCCUCUGGAAGCUGGAGUAAAACGACUGUAUGUUGCCAGGUCGAUCACCACCAGGAGUGUUGGAAGACAACACAGGACUUGCAGUAGACACAGUAGCCUUAGGUACCACCGGCACACUGCUUUUUUUAUUGGAUGCUUCAGAUUUGUUACAUAAUACCAAUCUUGGUGGCGUUGGAGAACACCUGUGUAUCCAGUUCAUUUGAAUAUAUAACAUAAGUAACCAGAUCAAACAUAAUCCACAAUCUUAAAUAGACUGAUAGAUGGAGUUAUUAUUGUAAUAUUAUUUACCUUGCGUAGAACAACAUAUAAGCUCCCUUUGUCCAUACACUUUCAACAUCAGAAGUUACUACCUGAAGAUAAUCACAACAGAAGAAUUAAACUUAGAAAAUUUUAUUCAAUUGUAACAAUAUUCAAAACAGAGCUUACUUAGAAACUAAUUCACAACUCUUACCGUGCUAUCAUCAGCUUUGUACCACUUGUUUUGACUGUUUCUAACAUAGCACACGUAGUGACCAGAAAAUGCUGCAUUCAUUGUAUCCAAGUGAACAAUAACUCCAUAGAGUUUGUAGUCAUGUGAUUUUUCACUUCCACCGCUGACAUAUGGAGUCAAAUCUAGAGUUUCUGGAAACCUGUCCAAGCCCGAGAAUAAUUUAAUUUAUAAAGUAAAAAAUAACCAAAUAUCUGAUAUAAUUACGUAUCUUAACAUAAUAGCAUCCCUCCAACCAUUUUGAUCUCUAUAACACAAAAAAAAUUGAAAAAAUAAAAUAAGAGAAGAAGAUCUAUAACAUGAAAGUAGAGAUACCUUGAGCUAGAGAACUCGAAGAGCUUGCCGGUGGCAGAGAAGAUGAUGAGAGCAACAUCGGCAUCACAAAGAACCGAAAGUUCAUCAGCUUUCUUGAAGAUUCCUCUUCUUCUCUUAGAGAAGGUAACUUGUCUCGCUGUUAUGUUAUCUAUCUUCUUUAUCCUUCUCUUUUCUCUCGCCAUUUUACACGAUCUCGUUCACUACUGAUCUUGAAUCCUGCCUACAUAUAACAACAUUCAGACCAAGAACCAAAGAAAGAAAACGAAGUGGGAGGAUGGUUAGCUAAAUAGGGUUUAUAUAAUAUUCUCAGGAAACCCUAGAUGGGUAGAGAUAGAGAGAGAUAGAGAGAAAGAGAUCAGAUCCAGAAACUAAGAGAAGUAAAAGAAAGAACAAGACUAGGAGAAUCCAGGAAAUGUUCUGCUUAAGGGGAGAAGAAACAGAUUCAUAGCUGUUACCUUUCUUUGAGUGGGAGGAUCUUAGAUUAGGUUUUGCAAUCUCACAACCCACUUUAUUAAUUUCUGGGAAGAAAGAAAGGCUUCUUUAUUCCCUAAUGUAGUGUGUGAGAGAGAUAGUGACGGGAGAGUUUGUGUGUUCAAGAUUGGAAAGACGAGUCUGCUUUUUUUUUAGCUAAACAGUGAUUCACUUAUUAAUGGACCAUACGUUUUGUGUUCCAUCAGUUUCUCAAAUUAAAAAUCAUUAAAUGUAUAAAUACACAUAAACACAUAUUGUGUUCUGUCUGACUGAUCUGGCAGGCUAGAGACUACUACAGUGUGCUUCUUAAUUAGUUGUGAAACAUUAGCUAAUUUACUUUGUUGCGUUUCAAGUUUCAACUCAAGUGGAUGGCCUAUUGUUGUGUUUAUCAUAAUAGUGGUUAUAUACAUCGCUCAUAGUCAUACGACUCCGUAGAUUGUAUGGGAUAUAAAUAUGUUAUUAUAAUUUGAUCAAAAAUGUCAUUAUAAAUUUAAGUUCUUUUUUUUUGUUUUACAAUUCGGAACCCAUAAAAUUUUAUAUAUUAACUGUUUAAAAUUUUGGGACAAAAACUAAUGUUUUAUUUAGCUGAAACAAGCUCAUAUUUGUUUUCAAUAUUUCGCCAUGACUCAUGGAUUAAUCUGAAAUAUUAACUUAACAGUAGCAGAUUCUAUUUGAAAUAUGUUUUUUUGUUAUUUUGUAAUUCUUAAUUAGUAGAUAGAUAUUUUAUAUCUACCUUAUUGGUUUGAUAUUUCACAUAAAUGGUGUGUAUUAAAUAUUCCAUCUAAUUUUUUUCUCAUCGUUCAUCCACACCAGAUGCGACACUUGAUAAGAUCUCUCAUAUCUUAUCCCACCAUCAUUAACUAUCUUCAUUUUUUUUUCUGAUAGGUCAGCCAUUUACUAAACCCUAACUAAAGUUGAUCUCUGAUCCGGUUACACUAAAAAGAUAAGAAUGACAAGUAGACUAGUCUUCUAUUUUUUUUUCCGUGCCAGUGAAAAAGUAAAAUUGUAAAAAUUAGUGGAUUUGGGCCAUAUUAAUGUCCAAAAAUAGGCCCAUCAACAAAAAGUAAUAAUCAUAAAAUUCUUCCCGGCAGUGAACCUUCCGACUCGUGAAGAAGCUUUACGACAACGACAGCAACCGGUAGAAACGUGAUCCACCAGACAAGAUGCACACUAUAAAGACAAGACAAGACACGAGAUCAGUAGACUCAAAUUAGAAUUCGCCUGUGAACAUUGGGAAUUAACCGCUAAGGAAAAGGAUGAUGAUCUCUCAGUUCUUCGUCUUAUCUCAGCGUGGAGAUAACAUCGUCUUCCGCGACUGUAACCUCAUUGAUCUUUUUGAUCUACCAGCAUUUCUUAUGAUUGUACGAUCAUUAGAUAUCUGAAACUCGUUGUUAAACAUUCUUUGUAAAGCUAAGUUUCUUUAGUUUUUCCGGAGAAAACCCAUUAGAUAUUUCUUUGUAUUUACUUGAAGAACCUUGUUUGUUUGAGCUCAUGCCAUUUAACUUGGUGUAUCAAACUAGAAUUUUGAAGAUGUGGAUCGUUUUCAUUUUGCGACGACAGACCGAGCUGAGGUACCAAAAGGCAGUACAGAGACAUUCUUCCGUAAAGUCAAGUUCUGGAAGGAGGAUGGUAAUGCUGAGGCGCCACCUAUCUUUGUAGGUAUCAUCGUCCUCGUAAGAUAAACCAAUGCUCAAACAUAACAAUCCAUAAAUGUCUUCAAUAAAAAAAAACAAAUCAAAUUAAAUGUUCUCUACUGGUUCUGUAAUGGUUUUAUCUAACUCUGUGCUUUAUAGAAUGUGGAUGGUGUGAACUACUUCCAUGUCAAGGUCGUUGGUCUAUAUUUCGUUGCGACCACAAGGGUUAACGUGUCACCGUUUCUUGUCUUGGAGCUUCUGGAACGAAUCGCUCGUGUUAUCAAGGAUUACCUUGGUGUGUUGAAUGAAGAUUCAUUCAGGAAAAAUUUCGUGCUCGUGUAUGAGUUACUUGAUGAAGUCAUUGUAAGUCUCAUCACUAGAAUGUAUAUUACUGCAUCGUAUAGUAGUGAGCUCUACUGAAUUAUCCUCUUUUUUAUUAGGAUUUUGGUUACGUGCAAACUACAUCAACCGAGGUAUUGAAGUCCUAUAUGUAUUCAACGAUCCAAUUUUGAUUGCUCCUGCACGUCUUCAACCUAUCGAUCCUGCUGCCAUCUUCACUGUAAGAUUGAUUUUCUUCUUUUUUUCCCCUCCUUAUGGUAUAUGUGAUUGACCAGGGACCCCCUUGGAUUAAUGAUAUGCAGCAAGGAGCCAAAAGAAUGCCUGGAACAGCAGUUACGAAAUCUGUUGUAGCUAAUGAUCCUGGUGGUCGGAGAAGAGAGGAAAUUUUUGUGGACAUUAUCGAGAAGAUCAGUGUUACUUUCAGUUCAAGCGUGAGUAGCUUAUGUGGCAGUCUCUAUCUACCUUACCACAUCAAGCUAUUUAUUUUAGCAGAUCAAUGCUAUGUAGUUGCAUCUUUAUGUUAGGUUUCUUCCUAGAAAUUAUUUAUUUAUAUUUUUUUCUCUUGAUUUAUAAACAGGGCUAUAUACUGACAUCUGAGAUUGAUGGCACUAUUCAAAUGAAGAGUUAUCUUUCUGGUAAUCCGGAAAUUCGUUUAGCUCUUAAUGAAGACCUUAACAUAGGAAGAGGAGGAGGAUUAUCAGUAUAUGGUAUUUCUUAUUUCACCCCUUUUGAAUCAUCAUUGUUUAUUCAGAAGAAAUCUACGUUCAUUAACUAUGAACUAAGCUGCAUGAUUCCAGUUACAAGUCCUUCAUAAUCGUUUCUGUAAUAUAUAUAGUUACUUUCAACUUCAUGCACAUAAAGUGCGCUUGACCUUGCAUUAUGAUCUAAUAAUUGGUAACACCACUAGUGAAGUAUAACUUGGUUCUUUUGUUGCAGAUUAUAGGAGUUCUCCAGGUUCAGGGGUGAUUCUUGAUGACUGUAACUUUCAUGAGUCUGUUCGUCUUGAUAGCUUCGAUUCAGAUAGAACUUUGUCCCUUGUGAGCUUUAAUUUUUUUUUUACUACAGAUUAACAUUUUGUCAUAACAUGUUGUUUUUGCACUUUAAACUCUUGUUCUGUUUUUUCAGGUUCCACCAGAUGGUGAGUUUCCAGUGAUGAAUAACCGUAUGACACAGGAGUUCAGGCCUCCUUUUCAUGUUAAUACCUUGAUUGAAGAGGCUGGACGCAUUAAGGUGCUAUUAAUACGUACACAUCUUCUAAAUCAGAUGGAAAACUAUAUAAUAUAAAUCUUUAUCCAAUAUUACUGCUGGCUGAAAUUUAGGCUGAAGUGACAAUUAAAAUACGCGCCGAGUUCCCUUCAGACAUAAUUGCGAACACGAUUGCUGUUCAGAUGCCAUUGCCUAAUUAUACUUCCAGGUACUUAAAUUUUUGGCUGGUAACGCUAAAAUGCAUUUUCAUAAAUGUUGAAUCACACAAGAGAUAGAUGCAACGGCCAACGGGUUAUGUUUGUUGUGACAGGGCUAGUUUUGAGUUAGAACAUGAUGCGGUUGGACAGAAGACAGAUUUCAAGGAAACAAGCAAAAUGCUCGAAUGGAGUUUGAAAAAGGCAAGUGUUGGAUCUCUAGUUUCACUUAUAGUAUGGUUGUUCUUACGUUAGCUAAAUGUGGUGUUCCAGAUUGUUGGCGGGGCUGAACAUACACUGCGUGCCAAGCUGACAUUUUCUCAGGAAUUUCAUGGUGACCCUCUUAAGACAAGAGUUUUCCUUAUUUCUCUAGUAGAGCACUACUGAUAAAAUAAUCAAUUACGUUGUUAGGUAAUAUCACAAAGGAAGCUGGGCCUGUCAGCAUGACUUUCACGAUACCCAUGUACAAUGUUUCUAAACUUCAAGUAAGUAAUAUGUUGACUGUUCCGUUUUUGUAUUACCAUCAGUCUUCCUCUCCAGUCACCUGUUGUAAUGAAUUGUGUGAUGCAGGUCAAAUACUUGCAGAUAGCAAAGAAAUCAAGUAGUUACAAUCCCUAUCGAUGGGUGAGGUAUGUGACACAGGCCAAUUCGUACGUGGCUCGGAUAUGACUUACUUCCAGAUAAUGCUUGCACUCUCUCUUUUACUUCUCGAGUGUGUGUGUUCACUUUUCAAGUCAUACUUGUUCUAAGUUCUAAAGGGUGUUGAGAAGAUGCUUCACAGUACGUGUCCAGUGUUGUCUCUUCUAUCUUACUUUUCUUUAUAUAUCAUCCAGUUUUGGUACUCAUCAUCAAUAUUUUAUUUUGUUGUCUCCUAGUGAUCUGUUUUCAUGGAAUCGGUAGAACUGAAUCCAAGAUUCUUAAGCAAAUUGCAAAGAUAUAAAGAUGAAAUAUUAUGACACUUCUUGAUGUUUUAAUACAGCUUGUGUACGCGAUUAGAUUAACUUUAUUUGAUGCAUCUUACAAAAAUUAUCAAACUUAUUAACAGAAGCUCCAUUCAGUUACGGUGAUACAUUUUCCUGGGCAAAAUCUCUCUUCCCCACUGUACACUACUAUAUAUACCAUUCCUCAGUGACCACUUUUUUCUACUACAUUGACUAAAUUGGGCCAGUGGACAAAAAAAUCAUCGUCUCCCUUACCUUUCUCUUCCCAAGGACACGCGAUGUCUCGAGUUUCUGCAAGUUUCUUGACAAGAACGACUCAAGUCCCCUAGCCGCGAAUGCCUUGUGAAGGGAGGAGAAGACGAGGAAGAUGAUGAUGUUGGAGAGGGAGCCUCGGACUGUCCGUGAGCCCGUCCUUGAUUAUCUCCAAAAAUGAAAUCAGCAAAGUCGUCCAUGCUUGUACUGUCUGUGCUACAAGAGCAUUCAUCUGAGGUGCUAUCAAAGAGAGAAGAACUGUCACUCGACGAGUCCUCUUCCAAAAUUCUCUGCAGCCUCUGGAAGCUGGAGUAAAACGACUGUAUGUUGCCAGGUCGAUCACCACCAGGAGUGUUGGAAGACAACACAGGACUUGCAGUAGACACAGUAGCCUUAGGUACCACCGGCACACUGCUUUUUUUAUUGGAUGCUUCAGAUUUGUUACAUAAUACCAA
rnacentral:lncRNA from 1 species